rnacentral:lncRNA from 1 species
UGUCCGUCAUAUUUGUAUUUCGUAAAUUGUUUUGUUAUAAAUUAGGCCGUUAGUUUGAUAUAAUCAUGUCCGUUUUCUUUUUUAUAGCCGACUAUACAGUGUGAGUUUUCUCAUUGUUGGAAGCCGUACCAUGACCGGAGUCUGGUUUUCUCAUUGAUUCCUCUUUCCUACAACAUAUUAUGCUGUGAGGAGGGUUAGGAGGGUCCUACUCCCGAAAUCCCGGGCUUGAAAACACAAAAUCCCGAGGUCCCGAAGUUAAUUAAAUUAAAAUCCCGACAUCCCGAAAUUCGAAAAACAAUUCUCGGAUCCCGAGAGGGUCAAUCCCGAAAUCCCAAGCUUAAAAACACCAGAUCCCGGAGUCCCGAUAAAGGUCAUAUCCCCCUCUACUGGUCUUGUCUAGUGAAAAU